rnacentral:rRNA from 1 species
UACGUAGGGGGCUAGCGUUGUUCGGAAUUACUGGGCGUAAAGCGCUCGCAGGCGGUUUGUUACGUCAGGGGUGAAAUCCUGGAGCUCAACUCCAGAACUGCCUUUGAUACUGGCGAUCUCGAGUCCGGGAGAGGUGAGUGGAACUGCGAGUGUAGAGGUGAAAUUCGUAGAUAUUCGCAAGAACACCAGUGGCGAAGGCGGCUCACUGGCCCGGUACUGACGCUGAGGUGCGAAAGCGUGGGGAGCAAACAGG